AGGUGGAGAGGUGGUGCGGGGAGGGAAAGGUGAAAAGAACCCCCGGGGGGUAGUGAAAUAGAACGUGAAACCGUGCUGAGCUCCCAAGCAGUGGGAGGGGAAAGUGAUCUCUGACCGCGUGCCUGUUGAAGAAUGAGCCGGCGACUCAUAGGCAGUGGCUUGGUUAAGGGAACGGAACCCACCGGAGCCAUAGCGAAAGCGAGUCUUAAUAGGGCGAUUGUCACUGCUUAUGGACCCGAACCUGGGUGAUCUAUCCAUGACCAGGAUGAAGCUUGGAUGAAACUAAGCAGAGGUCCGAACCGACUGAUGUUGAAGAAUCAGCGGAUGAGUUG
rfam:Hordeum vulgare subsp. vulgare, WGS project CAJW01000000 data, contig: morex_contig_777350